CAGAUCAUAAUUUAAUUAGUAGAAUAUCUUCUUUGGGAGAAGAUUAUGUGAGUGCAAAUCUUGCUGAUCUGA
rnacentral:tRNA from 1 species